CACAGAGAUGGCUCCGCCCCCGAAGGGCCGCAGGCCGCUGGCCACUCACGAGGCGGGGCUCUUCGCUGUUUUUGCUGCCCGCCGAGCUCAGCCGAACUCAGCCGACUCCCUCCCGCCGUAGCCGAGCCCAGUCGAACCCAGCCGAACUCAGCCGAGCCCCGCCGAACUCCUCGACGCUCCAGCCGCCGCCGCCCGAGCGCCACCGAGCGAGCGAGCUAGCGGCCCCGGCCGCGGAGGAGGCGCCGCCCCAGGGGGAGGAGGUGCCCGCUCUCCGCAGACCGCCCGCGGCAGAGGCCGGCCCGGUCGCGCCCCGGCGGGAGCGGCCGGCGGAGGCUGCGCGGCCCAGGGGGAGGGCCCGGGGAGUGGACAUCGCCCCUGCCCGCCUCCCGCCGUCCCCCGCCCGCAGGCUUUCGAGUCUCAGUCGGCGCUGAGCAUCCCGCUGCCCCGGACCCUCCCGCGGGCGCGCACCGGGCUCAACUCAGGCUCAGGACUGCAGGUGGCAUCUCCACUACCCAGGAAUCAUUGUGUGUGGACAGGACAGCCUCCUUGGAAAGUCGGCCAUACCAGAGUUGUGCCUCGGCAUGGGCCUUGCCAUUGAGGCAGCUCCGCUAUCUGCGCUGACCUGAGGGUGCUGCCUGUCAUGGGGGCAGCCAUCUCCCAGGGGGCCCUCAUUGCCAUCGUCUGCAACGGCCUUGUAGGCUUCUUGCUGCUACUGCUUUGGGUCAUUCUCUGCUGGGCCUGCCACUCUCGUUCUACUGACGUCGAUUCUCUCUCGGAAUCCAGUCCCAACUCCAGCCCUGGCCCCUGUCCUGAGAAGGCACCACCCCCCCAGAAGCCUAGCCAUGAAGGCAGCUACCUGCUGCAGCCCUGAAGGCCCCUGGCCUAUCCUGGAGUCCUGGACCUAAGUAUACCAGUCAGAGUGUGGCAUUUGAUCCCAGAGCUCAGCCAUUCUGGGGUCCAAAAUUUAGAGUCCAGUCUAUUUGAAACUGGACCCAGCAGCCUAGAUUGUAGCCAGCCUGACUCAAAGAGAGGUCUGAGUAGCUCUAGAGAGCCAGGCCUGGAGUGGGGGGUUAGGAGUUGGUGCUAGGGCCAGGGCUAUCUGGACUCUGCUCCAUCCCAAGGGCCAAGGGCUGUUUACCUCCCUAAGCUUAGCGCCUCUGGGCUCUCUAGGUUGGGGAAGCAAACUAGAACCCAUGGCAAUAAUGGGAGGGUGUCCAGGCUGGGCCCCUUCUCUGGUCCUCCCACUGUUUGUUGGAUAAUAAAUGGAACUAUGGCUUACCCUGAGACUUCUCC
rnacentral:lncRNA from 1 species